UACGUAGGGGGCAAGCGUUGUCCGGAAUCAUUGGGCGUAAAGCGCGCGUAGGCGGCCAGAUAAGUCCGGUGUGAAAGUCACAGGCUCAACCUGUGAAUGCCGCUGGAAACUGUCUGGCUUGAGUCUGGAAGGGGCGAGUGGAAUUCCUGGUGUAGCGGUGAAAUGCGCAGAUAUCAGGAGGAACACCAAUGGCGAAGGCAGCUCGCUGGAACGGUACUGACGCUGAGGCGCGAAAGCGUGGGGAGCGAACAGG
rnacentral:rRNA from 1 species